rnacentral:rRNA from 1 species
UGCAGUCGAACGAUGAUCCCAGCUUGCUGGGGGAUUAGUGGCGAACGGGUGAGUAACACGUGAGUAACCUGCCCUUGACUCUGGGAUAAGCCUGGGAAACUGGGUCUAAUACCGGAUAUGACCGCUCUGACGCAUGUCAGGUGGUGGAAAGCUUUUGUGGUUUUGGAUGGACUCGCGGCCUAUCAGCUUGUUGGUGGGGUAAUGGCCUACCAAGGCGACGACGGGUAGCCGGCCUGAGAGGGUGACCGGCCACACUGGGACUGAGACACGGCCCAGACUCCUACGGGAGGCAGCAGUGGGGAAUAUUGCACAAUGGGCGCAAGCCUGAUGCAGCGACGCCGCGUGAGGGAUGACGGCCUUCGGGUUGUAAACCUCUUUCAGUAGGGAAGAAGCGAAAGUGACGGUACCUGCAGAAGAAGCGCCGGCUAACUACGUGCCAGCAGCCGCGGUAAUACGUAGGGCGCAAGCGUUAUCCGGAAUUAUUGGGCGUAAAGAGCUCGUAGGCGGUUUGUCGCGUCUGCUGUGAAAGACCGGGGCUCAACUCCGGUUCUGCAGUGGGUACGGGCAGACUAGAGUGAUGUAGGGGAGACUGGAAUUCCUGGUGUAGCGGUGAAAUGCGCAGAUAUCAGGAGGAACACCGAUGGCGAAGGCAGGUCUCUGGGCAUUAACUGACGCUGAGGAGCGAAAGCAUGGGGAGCGAACAGGAUUAGAUACCCUGGUAGUCCAUGCCGUAAACGUUGGGCACUAGGUGUGGGGGACAUUCCACGUUUUCCGCGCCGUAGCUAACGCAUUAAGUGUACGGGCAGACUAGAGUGAUGUAGGGGAGACUGGAAUUCCUGGUGUAGCGGUGAAAUGCGCAGAUAUCAGGAGGAACACCGAUGGCGAAGGCAGGUCUCUGGGCAUUAACUGACGCUGAGGAGCGAAAGCAUGGGGAGCGAACAGGAUUAGAUACCCUGGUAGUCCAUGCCGUAAACGUUGGGCACUAGGUGUGGGGGACAUUCCACGUUUUCCGCGCCGUAGCUAACGCAUUAAGUGCCCCGCCUGGGGAGUACGGCCGCAAGGCUAAAACUCAAAGGAAUUGACGGGGGCCCGCACAAGCGGCGGAGCAUGCGGAUUAAUUCGAUGCAACGCGAAGAACCUUACCAAGGCUUGACAUGAACCGGUAAUACCUGGAAACAGGUGCCCCGCUUGCGGUCGGUUUACAGGUGGUGCAUGGUUGUCGUCAGCUCGUGUCGUGAGAUGUUGGGUUAAGUCCCGCAACGAGCGCAACCCUCGUUCUAUGUUGCCAGCGCGUUAUGGCGGGGACUCAUAGGAGACUGCCGGGGUCAACUCGGAGGAAGGUGGGGACGACGUCAAAUCAUCAUGCCCCUUAUGUCUUGGGCUUCACGCAUGCUACAAUGGCCGGUACAAAGGGUUGCGAUACUGUGAGGUGGAGCUAAUCCC